UCUAUACACUGAUGUUCAAACAAAACAACAAAAGCAAAUUACAUGGUAUUAUAAUGGCAUUCGCAUCGCUCUAAUCACUGGAGAUCUCAGGAAGAUCUGUACAGAAGUUCAGUGUAAAAGUGGUAAAGAGAGAUUCAGAGGCAGACUGAAGCUGGAUCGUCAGACUGGAUCUCUGAACAUCAAGAACACCAGAAACACAGAUGCUGGAGAAUAUACACUGGAGAUCAUUCGCCGCAGAUUCACCAGAGUCACUGAAAAGAUCUUCAGUGUUUCUGUCACUGAUGUUCCAGAUUCAAGAUUAUCUCCAGAUAUUCCAGAUUCAGAAUUGUCUUCAGAUGAUCCAGAUUCAGGAUUAUCUCCAGAUGUUCCAGAUUCAGAAUUGUCUUCAGAUGAUCCAGAUUCAGGAUUAUCUCCAGAUGUUCCAGAUUCAGAAUUGUCUUCAGAUGAUCCAGAUUCAGGCUUAUUUCCAGAUGUUCCAGAUUCAGGAUUGUCUUCAGCUGAUCCAGAUUCAGGAUUAUUUCCAGAUGUUCCAGAUUUAGGAUUAUCUCCAGAUGAUAUAGGAGAAAUAUGUGCUGCUGCUGCUGGUGGUGGUUUUCUUAUGGCUGGAGCUGCUGGGAUUUUCGGUUACAAAAUGUUUAAAAAAAUAAGCAAGUAUUACAUACAGCUGAUUGUAGAAAAUAUAAAUAAGAUAUUUAAUGUGCAAAAUAAACUUUAAAAACAUGUAUAAUUAUGUAUUUUUAUUCUAAUUGACCAAAGAGUGUGUUGUUGUUCAAACAGGAAACAGGAGACGGUGAGAUGAUGAUCAUCAGGAGAAUGAUGUCACAGUGCCCCUUAAGCAGAGGAAUGGGACUGCACAGGUGGAUGAUGAUAGUGGGAAACCUCAGUGAGACUGAGACUAAUGGGAUUUUACAGAAACAUUAGUUAUUAUUAAAUAGUUUGUUAAUGUUCAAAUAAUAUUUCAUAGAUAUAAAAUUGAAUGUGUAUGCUCACAUAACUAAGAAAAAAGGUAAGACAUGUAAAAAUUGGACAUUUUUGACAUUCAGAAAUAACAAUUAGAUAACAAUGAGAAAGUUAACAAGCCGUUCUUAGUUUUGCCAAUGUUUUACACCUCUAUUAACCAGCUAACCUCUCGAUCAACCAUCUGUGUCUACUCUAAACUGACAGUUUUACUCAGAGAUACACUGUAAAAAAAAAUCAGUUAAAUUUACAGGAAAAAACUGGCAGCUGUGGUUAAUAGAGUGUUCCUGUACAGACUUUUAACCAUAUUUAAUUUUACACCAUAAACCCUAUUUCAUUAUCUGAUAUAAUGUUAUACUGUUCAAUGUUCUGUAUUAGAAGCUGCACAGUGUCAUUCACACAAACAUUAAAAACCUAAAAAUUUAUGUUGAAAUUAAAAAAAUUA